CCUCCUUUUCUCCUCCUUUCUGCCUCUUGGUCCAUGGCCGCACGGCUGCACCAGCCAUGCCGCGUGAAGGUCGGUGCCCUAUGGGCGUUAAACUUCUUUUGUGCGGGAGCAAUAAUGGUCACGUGUGGCCAGACGAGAGUAACGUUCGAAUAAGCAUAGGCUCACUCCGUGCCAGCAGCCGCGGUAAUAAGGGAGAUGCAAGCGUUAUCCGGAUUUAUUGGGUGUAAAGGGUGCGUAGGCUGUGAGGUAAGUCAGCGGUGAAAUGCCCACGCUCAACGGGGUGAAGUGCCAUUGAUACUGCCUUGCUGGAAUGCGGAUGCGGUGGGAGGAAUGUGUGGUGUAGCGGUGAAAUGCAUAGAUAUCACACAGAACACCGAUUGCGAAGGCAGCCCCC
rnacentral:rRNA from 1 species